UGCGCAGGCGGAAGAAUAAGUCAGUGGUGAAAUACUGCCGCUCAGCGGUAGGGCUGCCAUUGAUACUGUUUUUCUUGAGUAUGGUUGAGGUAGGCGGAAUGUGCGGUGUAGCGGUGAAAUGCAUAGAUAUCGCCCAGAACGCCGAUUGCGAAGGCAGCUUACUAAACCAUUACUGACGCUGAGGCACGAAAGCGUGGGUAGCGAACAGGAUUAGAUACCCUGGUAGUCC
rnacentral:rRNA from 1 species